rnacentral:rRNA from 1 species
UACGUAGGUGGCAAGCGUUGUUCGGAAUUAUUGGGCGUAAAGGGCGCGUAGGCGGUUUGUUAAGUCAGUUGUGAAAGCCCGGGGCUCAACCCCGGAGGGUCGACUGAUACUGGCGGACUAGAGUACGGAAGAGGUAGCUGGAAUUCCCGGUGUAGCGGUGAAAUGCGCAGAUAUCAGGAAGAACACCAAUGGCGAAAGCAGCUCUCUGGGACGGUACUGACGCUGAGACGCGAAAGCGUGGGGAGCGAACAGG